rnacentral:rRNA from 1 species
AAUUUUGGACAAUGGGGGAAACCCUGAUCCAGCCAUCCCGCGUGUGCGAUGAAGGCCUUCGGGUUGUAAAGCACUUUAAGUUGGGAGGAAGGGCAGUAAGUUAAUACCUUGCUGUUUUGACGUUACCGACAGAAUAAGCACCGGCUAACUUCGUGCCAGCAGCCGCGGUAAUACGAAGGGGGCUAGCGUUGUUCGGAUUUACUGGGCGUAAAGGGCGCGUAGGCGGAUGUUCGCGUCAGAGGUGAAAGCCCCGGGCUCAACCUGGGAACUGCCUUUGAAACGGGACAUCUUGAGUUCGGGAGAGGGUAGCGGAAUUCCCAGUGUAGAGGUGAAAUUCGUAGAUAUAGGAAGGAACACCAGUGGCGAAGGCGACUACCUGGACUGAUACUGACACUGAGGUGCGAAAGCGUGGGGAGCAAAC